CCUACGGGGGGCAGCAGUGAGGAAUAUUGGUCAAUGGUCGGGAGACUGAACCAGCCAAGCUGCGUGAGGGAUGAAGGUACGGAGUAUCGUAAACCUCUUUUGUCAGGGAACAAAGGCGGGGACGUGUCCCCGGAUGAGUGUACCUGAAGAAAAAGCAUCGGCUAACUCCGUGCCAGCAGCCGCGGUAAUACGGAGGAUGCGAGCGUUAUCCGGAUUUAUUGGGUUUAAAGGGUGCGCAGGCGGUCUGUUAAGGCAGCGGUCAAAGCCCGGGGCUCAACCCCGGCCGGCCGUUGAAACUGGCAGCC
rnacentral:rRNA from 1 species